CUGAUGUGAGCCAAAGGCCUUGGACUAGGUCCACAUGGUUCAUGGAAAGAACCGAAAGAAAGUUUCUGAGUCUUAUAUUCAAGUCGGCACCAACAAAGCCAUCCCCAUCUUGAAGACAAGCCCAAGUCUGAACAUCUGAUCUCAAAGUCUUCAGCAACCAGUGAUGUAACUUAAAGGUAUCAUUACUGUUGUUAGGGAUGCUCUUUGGAAGGGAGGCAUGAUGUCACUGACUUCUACUUAGAGAAGAAACACUACUUGACUGGUAGUCCAAUGCUCCAGCUCCAACCCUGGCUCUGCCCUAACUCAUAACAUGACUGCGGCCAGGUCACUGCUCCUCUCUGGGCUUAGUCUGACCGGCUCCAAUAUAAAGGGAGACCCGAGACCACAGAGCGACCUCACACCCAACUCUCCAUGAAUCCAUGGUUCUGAAGGGUGAUUAGGGAGAGAUGCGAGUAGCAGGGGUGCGCACGUUCCUCCAGAAGGGGAGGAAAGACGAAAGGAUGAGCAGCUAACCAGCAUGAGUGAAACCACCACCCAGGCUCUGCUCGCAGGAGCCCCCCACCCCUAGGCAGGCCUGACCACAUGGCUUGCUCACACUCCCCAGAGCCGGAGGCCUGGGCCAGCAGCUGUAUAGGCCUUGUAGGCCGACUGUCAGCUGACCUGAAACGCAAAGACAUCCUUGACCAGAGUGUCCCCAAACACGAAGCUGGAGCCGGCCUCAGUGUAACUCAAGAAGAUCUGAAAGAAGGAAACAAAACAAAGGCCUGGAGUGAGGCCGAACAAGGCUGGGGGAGCUAGGGGGGCCUCCACGAGCCUUCCCCACACCCCAGGGGGGAGAGAGGGAUUCGGAGACUGCAAGCUCCUGAGGGAAGUAGCAGCUGCACAGCUCAGCCCACGCCUGCCCACCUCGUCUAGGGCCCAGUACACACCUGCCAUCCUGGUCCCAAUUCCUUUCUGCAGCCUCACUGCCCACCUUACCCCAACAGAGUGGCUUCUCCUCCAUUCCCUGGCAACCCAAGAUUGCCUGGGCAGCUGGGCACCAUUCACACACCUGGAUCUGGUCACCCAGCCACUGGAAUGCAAUAAACCCAGGUUCUGUUCUGAUGACAAGGAGUCCAAGUACAAACUGUAGCCCAAGGCCCCAGGACACGACCCGCCAGGACACCUGCCACCAAAAGAAAAAUCCUGGCAAAGAGGAUGCUGAUGAACACGCAGGUUCCUGCAAAGGACACCAGCUGCUCAGGCCGCCGGGAGGUGUCCAGAACCAGCCACAGGACCAGGCCCAGGAAAGCGGCGAGGGCCAGACCCCUGCAGGAAAGGCGGAAAGCCAUGACCCUCAGCAUCUGCUCCACUCCCACACAUGAGCACCCAGAGCCCCAGAGAAAGGGCACUCAGGGGUGCUGCGAGGGAAGAGCUGUGUGACCUCAGGCAGGCCACCUAACCUGAGUUUAGUUUCCUUACCGGGAAAAUGAAGCCAAAGACUCCCCAUUCCUUACAGCUGGGAGAGGACUAAACAAGAGGACGUGUGUACUGAGUUUAGCACCUGCCCUUCCUCCUUGUCUCCAAGCAACAACUGAUCUGCUUUUUGUCACCAGAUCAGUUUGUAUACUCUAGAAUUUUAUAUAAAUGGAACCAAACAGCACAUCUUUUUCGUCUAACUUCUUUGACUCUGCCUAAUUAUUCUGAGAUUCGUCCAUGUUUUUGCAUGCAUCAGCAGUUCAUCCCUUUUUAUGGCUGAGAGGUGUCUCAUUGUAUGGAGAGACUACAACUGGCCUGGCCACUCACCUGAUGAUGGACAUUCAGGUUGUUUCCAGUUUGGGGCUAUUCCAGAUAAAGCUGCUAUGAACAUUCAAACAUUCAUAUUUGCAAAUAUUUUCUCCCAUUAUGUGUGUUUUCUUUUCAUUCUCUUGAUGGCGUCCAUUGAAUCAACAAGUAUUUAGUUUUUAUAUAGUCUAAUUAAUCUGCACAUAUUUUUAAAGAAAACUUUAUAUCAAUACCUCAAAUGGAAAAGCACUAUCAAUGAUUUGUCAUAAACAGAGAACAAGUGUAAAUACAAAUCUUUUUAUAAAUCUACUUAAUAAAGAAAAGGAAAUGUAAAAGCAAAUCUAUUUAUAAAUAAAACUUAAAACGUGU